UGCUACACUAUUGCACACACCUUGCUUAGGGUUGCUGAGAAAUAUGCAGCAGCAAUGCAGAUUUCCACCUUUCAAGUUUCAACCACAAGUUAAGUUCUUGUGGAGCUUUUAUGUUGCUUGUUAGGGGACUUCAAAAAUGCAAUGCUGAUUUGUGUUUCUUGCACAAUUAUACAGGGAAUAAUACACUAUAGAGCAGCCCAGAAUGCACAGUAACUCCCUUCGCAAAAGGAGCGUUGCUGGAGUCACACACACAACACAAGUUCAGGGCAAAGAGGAAGAGUGGAAACAUUCAACAGUGUGUUGAGUAAGAGACUGUGCGGUCUUAAUGUGUGUGCCAGCACUGUUACUCAAGUAUAUCUGGAGGGAGAGCAGCAGUUAAAGAAGAGGCAUUUCACCAAUCAGACAACGUGGCAACAUAAACCAACAAGAAGAGUCUGCACUCUAAGAGAUUGUAACUUGAACAAAGUUCAAACACUUCCAUCAGGAUUUUGACCACAGCACGAAGACUGCACUUGGACUUGAGUGACAUCCAACAGACAGUUGUAAAAUUUCAGCUUUGGCCAACACAAAGUGGUCCCCUUUCUUCAGAGAGUACAAAAAUGACAUGCGGAGUCUCCCAAGGUUCCAUUCUCAGGUCUCUUCGGUUCAGCCUAUGCAUGCCAACACUAGCGCAGAAUAUGGAAAUCAACAAAAUAUCUUAACCAUCAUAAUUGUGUGGACGACACACAGAUUUAUGUAACAAUAUCAGCAGGCGACUAAGGUCCCAUAUAAGCAGUGAGUCAGUACACUGAACAAAAUCAAUGACUGGACUUCAUGCACUCCACCUGUGCUGUAAUUUCUACUCUCCUCUUUUUACUGUUUUCCUUUUAUGUUAUAUGUAAAGAACUUUGAAUUGCCUUGUGGUUGAGAGGUGCUAU